ACUCCUACGGGAGGCAGCAGUAAGGAAUAUUGCGCAAUGGACGAAAGUCUGACGCAGCGACGCCGCGUGGGGGAUGAAGGUCUUCGGAUUGUAAACCCCUUUCGGCAGGGAAGAUGGAACGGGUAACCGUUCGGACGGUACCUGCAGAAGCAGCCACGGCUAACUUCGUGCCAGCAGCCGCGGUAAUACGAAGGUGGCAAGCGUUGUUCGGAUUCACUGGGCGUACAGGGAGCGUAGGCGGUUGGGUAAGCCCUCCGUGAAAUCUCCGGGCCUAACCCGGAAAGUGCAGAGGGGACUGCUCGGCUAGAGGAUGGGAGAGGAGCGCGGAAUUCCCG
rnacentral:rRNA from 1 species